UUCUUCUGCGCGCCGGUAAUGAUGCCACCGGCGGUAUAUGGCGAUGCGUUCAUUAUUAGGCGUACGCAGGGGAAAAGGCCCGAAGAUAGUAAGUGGGGGACGCCCUCGGAUGGAGCAGAAACACCCAUUUCCAAGCAUUCCACAAUGGCUGAGCACCUGACCGGGAGUGCAGUUGUACCUUUUUACCGGUGCAUCUGAACAACCAAUGGAUACCAUGCCUAUCGGAAUGGCGGUAACGACGAGCACUUUUAAUGAAACAGCACAAUGGAAUACAGUCAGUCACGUGAGGCACCUCUGACAGCAUAUGCAGUGGGUUGCGAUGGACUGAAUGAUUUUAUCAGCAUUUUCACUGGGUGCAAA